UACUCGCUUUGGCAGCACUAUACUAACAUUGGAAUGAUCAAGAGAAAAUUAGCAUGGCUCCCGCGCAAAGGUGACAUGCAUGUUUGUGAAGCGUUCCAUAUUUUU